rnacentral:rRNA from 1 species
GUAGGGAAUCUUCCACAAUGGGCGCAAGCCUGAUGGAGCAACACCGCGUGAGUGAAGAAGGGUUUCGGCUCGUAAAGCUCUGUUGUUAAAGAAGAACACGUAUGAGAGUAACUGUUCAUACGUUGACGGUAUUUAACCAGAAAGUCACGGCUAACUACGUGCAAG